UGUCAUCUCCUCCCCCUCCCCUAUUUGAUUUGUUCCGGUCGUCAUGCUGAUGCUACUAGAUUUUAUUUUCAUGUCAAGUCUCGUAGCCUAGGCGCAUCCCGUUCGAAAGGGUGGCAUCUAUAAAUAUGCAUGUCUUUGCAUAUUUAUAACCGUCGUCCUUUCGAAUUGUCCACGUUAUCCAUGGACAGCCCGAGUACGCGUAGAUUGGGUUUCGUUUUCCAUGCUCUACUUCGGCCCUCGGCAAAAUUUCAUCUGCGCCACCUUGUUGUUCUCCGGGUGCACAUUCUCUCGGCUUGUUGUCGAGACGUGUAUUUGGAGAACAGCGGGGAGGUGCUGCCAAAAUUUUGCCUCGGACCGGAGUAGAGCACGGGAAACGAACCCAAUCUACACGUACUCGAGUGGGAUUAGGAACCAUCUUUACCUAUUAGCGAUAGGAUUCAAUCCAUGAAUGCAUGUUUCCCUUUUGUAUGGUAAAAAAUUAAAGCCAUGGCGUAAAUAAUAUAACAAUGGUAAUUAGUUGUGUAUCUAGUCUUAAUUACAAUAUACAUAUCUUGAUGAAUAUGAAUUUGGUGCCCCUACUGUCAUAUGCAAGUACCAAUAUGGAUGAUCGUGAGUGGAUGUACACUGGCCACCCUAGUCAGGCUGGCAUGACCACUGAAUGGGUGACGAAGACCAAUGAAUUUGUAGAGGCAACAUUUGCUAGAGGCCAAAGAAAAAGUUGGUGCCCCUGCUUGAAGUGUGACAACGACAGAGAACAGGCGAAGAAGACGAUGUGUAGGCACCUGCAGAAGCAUGGGUUUAAGCGUGGGUAUACCCGGUGGACCCUUCAUGGCGAGCCUGAACGUAGCAGAGAGGAGGUGGUGCGUCGGCGAACCGACAACAAUGGUACCGAGAUCGUUGACAUUGUAGCUGACUUCAACGAUGCACGUGAAGAGGGAUCAGAGGAAGAACCAGAGGAGUCUGCGAGGGCCUUCUUAGAAAUGUUGAAUUCCUCAGAACAACCUCUUCACGACCACACAAACCAAUGUUAGCUGGAUGCCAUUGCACAAGCAAUGGCUAUAAAGACCCAGUUCAACAUGAGCAAAGAUUUCUUUAAUUCGAUGGUGACAUCUUGGGGUCGCUCUCUCCCCGAAGGUCAGAAACUGGCUAAAAGCUGGUAUUAUGCGAAGAAAAUCCUUCGUGCACUUAAGAUGCCCUAUGAGCAGAUACAUGCUUGUCCAAAUGGAUGUGUCUUAUUUACGAAAGAGUAUGCCGAUGACAAUUAUUGCGCCAAGUGCAAAGCCUCUAGGUAUGUCGAGAGAGACCUCAGUGAUGGUACGAAGAAACAGAGCAAAGUCCCCGCAAAUGUUCUUUGAUAUUUUCCAAUCUUGCCAAGAAUUCAACGUCUUUAUUGAACGAAGAUACAGCCAAACAGAUGACAUGGCACAAAUAUGGGAUAAGACGCAACAAAGAUGAUCAUGGGAGACCGAUGUUGAUACAUCUGUCUUGUGCCCAAGCAUGGAAGAGUUUCGAUCGAAUACAUCAUGAGAAAGUAAAAGAGGCAAAGAAUGCACGAGUUGCCAUCGGAAUCGAUGGGUUCAAUCCGUUUGGUAUGGUGUCAAAGACAUACAGUUGUUGGCCCGUGUUUGUUGUUGCCCUCAACCUCCCCCCCUGGCGCCCUAAUGCAACGCAAGCACAUGUUCCUGUCGUUGAUAAUUCCAGGGCCCAAGUAUCCGGGGAAGAAUAUAAGUGUGUACAUGCAACCACUGAUAGAUGAGUUGAAAGAAGCUUGGGUGAAUGGGAUACGGACAUACGACGCUGCUAUCAAAAAGAACUUCACAAUGCAUGUUUGGUACCAGUACUCACUUCAUGACUUACCGGCACAUUCACUUUUCAUGGGGUGGUAUGUGCAUGGGAGGUUCCCAUGCCCAAGGUGCAAGGCAAGCAUGCAGUGCCGUUGGUUGCAGCAUGGUCGCAAGUAUUCUUGCUUCGAUUUUCAUAGACAACAUUUGCGUCGUGACCAUCCAUUCAGACAAGACAAGAAGAACUUCAUGAAAGGUGAAGUAGUUGAACACUCGGCACCACCUGAGAUGACGGGUGAACAAAUUCGUGAUCAAAUAAAUGCUCUCCAGCCUGAUCCCAAACGUCCAGGGUAUUUCUUGGGAUAUAACGAAGAACACGCGUGGACUCACAAGCCAUGCUUAUGGGAUCUCCCCUACUUCCACCAACUCGAGUUUCCACAUAAUAUUGAUGUAAUGCACACUGAAAAGAAUAUCGCCGAGGCCAUUUUUGGCACGUUGUUCAACAUUGCUGAGAAGACGAAGUAUAAUACUAAGUCUAGACUUGAUGUAAUGAAGCUAUGUGAUAGACCCGAACAAAACUUGCAACAACCCGAGGGAAAGAAAAACUGGAGGACGCCAAAGGCGAGGUUUGUUCUUACUAGGGAACAAAAGGAGAUACUCAUGUGGUUCAAAACUUUGUUGUCCCCUGAUGGGUUUGCAACGAACCUUAUGAGGGCAGUGAAACUUGAUAAAUUGAAGUUCAACGGGAUGAAGAGUCAUGAUUGGCACAUAUGGCUUGAGUGGUUAAUGUCGGUGAUGAUUCGAGGCUAUAUCCUUGAGGAUGAUUGGGAAGUAUUGGCAGAGCUUACCUAUUUCUUCCGUGUUCUUUGUGCUAAAGAAGUAUCUCCUACUGUGAUAGAUGAGAUGGAAGAACGGGCCCCCGAGUUGCUCUGCAAGCUAGAGAAGAUCUUUCCACCAGGAUUCUUUAACCCGAUGGAACAUAUGAUUUUACACCUCCCUUCCAAGGCAAGAAUGGGUGGCCCUAUGCAGAAUUGUUGGUGCUAUGGACUUGAGAGAAUGCAUAAGACUCUUCGAGCUAAAUGUAGAAAUAAAUGUAGAAUUGAAGCCUCCAUAGCCGAGGCAUUCUUGGCGGAGGAUAUUACAAACUUCACGACAUCAUGCUAUGCGGGCAAUAUUCCAAGCUUGCAUAAUGCAAAGUCUCGAUACAAUACUGGCGACCCUAAACAUGAAUCCAAGGGGGAGUGUUGGGAGCGGAUCGUGGACUAUUGGUGUUCCAAAGAGUAUAGGGCGAAAAACAAAGAUUAUAGAAAUCGACGAGCCGCAAUGCUGGAUCCACCACAUCAUCAAGGCAACUUGAACAUUAUGGAGUUCGGUGAACGUUGGGCAUCUCACCAUAAUGCUCCAUUGGCCAACCUUUUCGUCUCGUAUGCUUUGGCCCAUAAGGCACCAUACAAAACAGCCACGCCUUACGAUGAGAAUGACACAACGUCCGCGUACUCCAGCAAGACCGCCUAAGAUCGGAUGGAGAAAUUUAAAGGGACGACAAAAGAGUUGAAAGGGCCCGAGUAUGAUGUGACAACAGAGCCUCUUGACCACGCGUUGGUCAUGAUCUCUGGAGAAGGCAAGAAACAUGGCAAGGAAGCAAUUGCAGGAGGCAUGUUCCCUAGCUCCUCCCGUAGCUCUCUCCCUGAAUACAAAGCUCGGUUAGGUAUCUCAAAAUCUUCUACAUAUAAACGCUCGACUCCAGCUAUGGUUGAGAUGGAGCCCGACUGGCGGAGGAGAGGCGAGUGGCGGCGGAGGAGAGGGCAGAGGAGAGGUGACUGGCUGAUGAGAGGACGCAGCAGGUGGUGCAGCAGGCGGUGUUGGCACAAACUAGUCAAUGCUUUGCAAUGUUUGGGGCUUAUUGUACCCAGAAUGGUAUGCCCGCUAUGCAGAUGCCUCAAUCAGGCCAUGGAUCUAAUACUGAUGGAUCUUCACAUGCACGAGGCCCAAGCGACAACAACCUUGGUGGUUCUCCGAAUGUUUGAGAUCGAGUAUGGUUGCCACCUGGAUGCUCUUUGGACUACGACAUGGACAUGAAGAAUGGUAACAAAUUGCUGCAUCAUCAUGGCUAAGGUGUCCAUACCCCUAAUGUUGUACUGAAGAAGAUUGGGCAGCUUGUGUUGGAAGCGAUCGGGGUAUCGUGCUGAGGAAGACUGGGUGGCUUGUGCUCGAAGCUUUCAGCGAAUAGCUUGCUGAGGAAGGCUGGGCAGCGUACCUUAUAAGAUUCCCCCCUUAAAGGCUUGCUGGGGAAGACUCGGUACCUUAUGCCAGAAGCUUUUGCAAUACCUUAUUGAAGAAGACUGAAUAUCUUGCACAGGAAAAUCAUUCAUACCUUACUGAUGCAGACUGGGGAGCGUGUCGUGUACGCUUCACUGAUAAAUUAUGGAGAAGGACUGAGCUGUUUUUCUUUGUGAACUAAAUAAUAUAUAUAUUCUUGUCAUUCCGGCUGCUGAUUACUUGUAUGAAAAGAAAUGUCUGACUAUUCUUGCUGAAUUCAUUGCAUAUUUGGACUGACUUCUGGGUGUCGCAUGCUUCAAAACUGACUUGUGGCAGAACCAAUUAUCGGGUACAGACCAUACCUUUGACCUGGUAUGCAUGUUGGACUUGGAUCCAGUUUUGUUCUCCUACUAGUUUAAUCAUUGCCGCAAUAAAGGUGUAUCUUUGUCGGGUA